GUUAACGCUGGCAGCGUGCAUAACACAUGCAAGUCGAGCGGGAUAUUCGGCGUAGCAAUACGUCGGAUGUCUAGCGGCAGACGAGUGAGUAACACGUAAGAAACCUACCCCGGAACAAGGAACAACCCGCCGAAAGGCGGGCUGAUACCUUAUAUAAUCCUCUAGCGGCAUCGCUUAAGGAUGAAAGGCGUAAGCCGGUCUGGGAGGGUCUUGCGACCUAUCAGCUUGUUGGCGGGGUAAUGGCCCACCAAGGCGACGACGGGUAGCCGGCCUGAAAGGGCGAUCGGCCACGGAGGCACUGAGACACGGGCCUCACUCCUACGGGAGGCAGCAGUGGGGAAGUUUGGACAAUGGGGGAAACCCUGAUCCAGCAACGCUGCGUGAAGGACGAAGGUCUUCGGAUUGUAAACUUCUUUUGUUCGGGACGAAUGCCCGCAAGGGUUUGACGGUACCGGACGAAUAAGCCACGGCUAACUACGU
rnacentral:rRNA from 1 species